CCUACGGGUGGCAGCAGUGAGGAAUAUUGGUCAAUGGUCGGGAGACUGAACCAGCCAAGCCGCGUGAGGGUGGAAGGUACAGAGUAUCGUAAACCUCUUUUGUCAGGGAACAAAGACUGGGACGCGUCCCCGGAUGAGUGUACCUGAAGAAAAAGCAUCGGCUAACUCCGUGCCAGCAGCCGCGGUAAUACGGAGGAUGCGAGUGUUAUCCGGAUUUAUGGGGUUUAAAGGGUGCGCAGGCGGUCUGUUAAGUCAGCGGUCAAAGCCCGGGGCUCAGCACCGGCCCGCCGUUGAAACUGGCAGUCUGGAGUGGGAGAGAAGUAUGCGGAAUGCGCGGUGUAGCGGUGAAAUGCAUAGAUAUCGCGCAGAACUCCGAUUGCGAAGGCAGCAUGCCGGCUCCACACUGACGCUGAGGCACGAAAGCGUGGGUAUCGAACAGGAUUAGAUACCCCAGUAGUC
rnacentral:rRNA from 1 species